CGCGGUGUAGCUCAAUGGAUAGAGCGGUCACGCAAUGGCAACCGCGAAGGCUGCCUAAGACUGAAUCGGAAAAUUCAUCCUAAAGCGUGAAAGGUCCCGGUUCAAAUCCGGGCACCGUACCCA
rnacentral:tRNA from 1 species